GGUUAAGCGACUAAGCGUACACGGUGGAUGCCUAGGCAGUCAGAGGCGAUGAAGGGCGUGCUAAUCUGCGAAAAGCGUCGGUAAGGUGAUAUGAACCGUUAUACCCGACGAUACCCGAAUGGGGAAACCCAGUGUGUUUCGACACACUAUCAUUACAUGAAUACAUAGUGUAAUGAGGCGAACCGGGGGAACUGAAACAUCUAAGUACCCCGAGGAAAAGAAAUCAACCGAGAUUCCCCCAGUAGCGGCGAGCGAACGGGGAAGAGCCCAGAACCAGCAUCAGCUUGUGUGUUAGUGGAAGCGUCUGGAAAGUCGCACGGUACAGGGUGAUAGUCCCGUACACAAAAAUGCACAAGUUGUGAGUUCGAUGAGUAGGGCGGGACACGUGACAUCCUGUCUGAAUAUGGGGGGACCAUCCUCCAAGGCUAAAUACUACUGACUGACCGAUAGUGAACCAGUACCGUGAGGGAAAGGCGAAAAGAACCCCGGCGAGGGGAGUGAAAUAGAACCUGAAACCGUGUACGUACAAGCAGUGGGAGCCUACUUGUUAGGUGACUGCGUACCUUUUGUAUAAUGGGUCAGCGACUUAUAUUUUGUAGCAAGGUUAACCGAAUAGGGGAGCCGUAGGGAAACCGAGUCUUAACUGGGCGUCAAGUUGCAAGGUAUAGACCCGAAACCCGGUGAUCUAGCCAUGGGCAGGUUGAAGGUUGGGUAACACUAACUGGAGGACCGAACCGACUAAUGUUGAAAAAUUAGCGGAUGACUUGUGGCUGGGGGUGAAAGGCCAAUCAAACCGGGAGAUAGCUGGUUCUCCCCGAAAGCUAUUUAGGUAGCGCCUCGUGAACUCAUCUUCGGGGGUAGAGCACUGUUUCGACUAGGGGGCCAUCCCGGCUUACCAACUCGAUGCAAACUACGAAUACCGAAGAAUGUUAUCACGGGAGACACACGGCGGGUGCUAACGUCCGUCGUGAAGAGGGAAACAACCCAGACCGCCAGCUAAGGUCCCAAAGUCAUGGUUAAGUGGGAAACGAUGUGGGAAGGCUUAGAC
rnacentral:rRNA from 1 species